AAUGGCUAGUCUUCAGUCUCCACUUGCCCUUGUGUGUUGUUUUUCCGGGUAAAUGGCAUAGGGAUGCAAAGUGGGGAAUUUGAUGCGCUUGCGCUUCCCGCUUCCAUCUUCCUCUUUCCAAAUACAAAACCUAGCGUCUCUCUCUCUCCCCAACAUCAUGAUGAUGAUGUCGAAGACGUUCAAAGGAUCGAACGUGUUCCUGUCCCGGAGCCUGGUUCCGCCGGAGAUCUUCGACACCCUUCACGACGCUCUCAAGCACAAUGGCGCCGACGUUUUCCUCUGCUGCGACCCUUCCAGAAACGGCCCCAACGAUUUCCAUGUCAUCUCCUCCAACCAACACGAAAAGUUCGACGAUCUCCAGAAAAAGGGCUGUCGUUUGCUUGGUCCUCAAUGCGUGCUUUCUUGUGCAAAAGAACACAGACCUCUUCCUACUCAUGGGUUCUCUUGUUGCCUUGCAUUGGAUGGGGUCAAAGUACUGGCAUCUGGUUUUGAGAUGGAUGAAAAGUCUGAGAUUGGAAAGAUGGUGGCCGCUAUGGGUGGAGUGUUACAUAAUAAAGCUUCCAUGGAUCUCAGUUUUGUUAUUGUAAAGAAUGUUUUGGCUGCAAAGUAUAAGUGGGCUUUAAAUGUUCUAAAAAAACCAAUUGUCACAUUAAGCUGGUUACACCAGUGUUGGAAGGAACAUCGUGUCGUUCCUCAGGAGUCAUACAGGGUUCUUCCAUUUUCUGGAUUGACAAUUUGUGUUACCAGAAUUCCUGCAGAUGAGCGGAGGCAGGUGGAGAAGCUUGUGGUGCAAAAUGGUGGAAAAUAUUCUGCUGAAUUGACCAAGAAGUGUACUCAUUUAAUUUGUCAGGCCGCUGAAGGAGACAAAUACAAAGUAGCUAGAAGAUGGGGUCACAUUCAUAUAGUUACACAGAAAUGGCUUGAUCAAUCUGUAGCUAGAAGAGCGUGUCUUAAUGAGGAGUCCUAUCCUGUUCAAGGUGGGCCAACAUCUUCAAUCAAUGGUAUAAGGGUUUGUUUGUCAGCACAGCACAGUGAAGACAGAGGUGGAGGGAAUUCACAGUGUGCCCCAUCCUCGGUGGCUGGAGAUACAAGGCUGGAAGCUGGUUUAUCUGCUGGGAUUACAGAUCAAGAUUUAGAGGCUACUCUCUCACAGAACAUAUCCACUGCAUGUUCAGAUGGUCCUGUCUGUGUGAAGGAGGAGAGUGGAGCGCCUCCUAUCCAGACUGGAAGUGAUACAAAUUUUGAUGAUGGUGUUGCUGAUGACUCUCAAACCGAAGACAACGAUCUGUACUUGUCAGAGUGCAGAAUUCUACUGGUUGGUUUUGAUGCCUCUGAAAUGCGUAAACUAGUCAACAUGGUUCGCCGAGGUGGUGGAUCUCGUUAUAUGUCAUCCAAUGAAAAAUUGACCCAUAUAGUUGUUGGAACUCCUUCAGAGAUUGAAAAAAAGGAUAUCAGGGGGCUUGCAGCUUUGGGUGUUAUUUAUGUGGUCCGGACCUUGUGGCUUGAAGAUUGUGUUCGUGAAAAGAAAGAAGUGCCUGUACUCAGGAGGCACAUGGCUUAUGAUUUAAUUCUUCCAAAUGAACCUGUAUGCUCUAAUAAAGGAGUUACAAUGAGCAUUGCUGGCAUGAAACAGUGGAAAGCUGCUAGUCCUCAUUCUAGUUUACCGGGUGAUCUGUUACCAGGGGCUACAAAUUCAAAUUUAAUGGGUAAAAGCAAUGAAAUAGAGGUUAAUAUAAAUGAGAAGAGCUCUUUCAGGGCAAGGACAAGAACUGAUACACAAAGCCAAUUUAGUGCUUUUAAUGGUAAGGACAAGGAUCAACAAAAGAUACAACUUGAUACAUUCAAUGAAGUUCAGGACAUGAAGUCAUCGAGUGUAUUCAGGGGGAAGCUAUUUCGGUUUGCAAGUUCCUUUCCUCAUGACAGGAGAUCAGAAGUUAUUCAAUGGGUUAAUCAAGGGGGAGGGGAGGUUGUGGAUGUUCAGAGUGAACAGAAUGUGCACUUUACUGUUGAUUGCCAUGGUGUGGUACCGGAACCUCGUAAUGCAUUGAGAACAAUGAGUGUAUCCAGUCACUGGAUUCGAUCUUGUUUAGAGGAUGGCUGCUUGCUGGAUGUUGACAGUCAUAUUCUCUAUUCUCCACUGCCAUGCCGGAUUCCUUUGCCUGGAUUCGAAAAUUUUCGUUUCUGUGUUUCACAGUAUGCUGAGAAGGACAGACUGCUACUUAGAAAUUUGUGCUUUGUUCUUGGAGCCAAAUUUGUUGAAAAAUUGACUAAAAAAGUCACCCAUUUAUUAUGCAAGUUUACCGGUGGUCCAAAAUAUGAGGCUUCUUGUAAAUGGGGGAUUCAGUCAGUUACAUGCGAGUGGAUUUAUGAGUGUGUUAAGCAGAAUGGAGUUAUUGCACCAGGUCCAUUUUGUCCAAAGGAAGUUACUUCUCAAGACCAAGAGGCUGGGCUCUGUACUUCAACCCAAUAUCCCACCCAAGCCACUAGAAUGACAUCUGCAGAUUGUGCAUCUGAGGUUCCAAGUCAGUCUCAGGACCUGAGCAAUUUACAGAAUCAAGCUAUUUGUAGAAGCAACAAUGGCAGGGAAGACACUGUACUUUCAAGCAAAAGUUGUAAAAGGUUAAGGAUUCUUGAAGGUGAUGGUAGUGAGGUUCUUAUAUCUUCUAGAUUGAAUCAAACUGCUCCUACCACCACGAUGGCUUCCACAAAAAACAGCUUAAUUCAAAAUAGCAGGGAAGUGCCUCUUCCUGUACCUGAUGUAGCUGCAGCUAUUGAGGAUCUGUUAGAGCAAACUACAAAGAUUCACGAUCUGAAGUCCCCAAGAAAUACUGGAUGUGAUAAAAGCCUUUUCUCGUCUGAUUGUUCAAUACUUGGUCAAGAACAUGCAGAUCCUCACUCUGCCUUUGGGUUGGCCAAGCAUUGGUUAAAUAGGGAUGACAGAAAGGAGGAUAUCUGCAAUCCUCCUGGAGACGCAAAUGUGGGCAUGUAUGAUGGCUUUAGUGAAACACAGACGGAGUCUCAGGUUGUUGGUUAUGAAGAAGAUUUAUCCGGCAGGCAAAUGAUAAUAGAUAGAGUCCGAACAAGGAGUAGCAUGAUUUGAAUCAAUUGGGUAGGUCCAACAACAUGCUGAAUUCAGGGUUCAAGAAAUUGAACAAUACUGCCAUACUGGAUGAAGUUAUCCGGUCGCCAACAUGCUUGAAGUUGAGGACACCAUAUUGUAGAGGAAAGAUGAAGAUACAGCAUCAGCUCUAUUGCUUUUGGGUUCAUGUAUUUUGUAUUUUGUAUUUUGUAGGAACCUUAGUGUUUAAGAUCUUGAAACACGUCAUAAUGAAAAUAAACUGUAGUCCAAUACCGUCCGCCCUUUGAUCUUAAGCAAGUUGGAGAUCGAACCAUGUUAAUUACUGGCUACAGAUUUUCAUGCACAGGCUUCAUCUGGGAGGCAAUCAGAGUUGUCCCCUCGAUUGUGAUCCUGUACAAAUGGAUUUCACCAAAUUUAGUGCAAGACAUAUAAUUACUAAA